CCCUGCCAAAACCUCAAUAAGAUGUUGUGCUACCAACAGCAGCGCUUUCCACCUCUCCAUCAAGAGCACAUCCCCAUGAAUUGCCCCCAAACGCACCAUCUGAUGCACAGCUGGCAGUCAGAGCUGUGCACCCCGCAGUACGUGACCCCCUGCGUUCCUCGGCAGCGGUUUCUAUCCUCCAGCUUCUCCCCACAGCAGUGUGUGACCCAGUGCAUACCACGGCAGCAGUAUGCAACCAAGUGCAUCCAACAGACACAGCGUGUGACCCAAUACAUCCCACCCCCCAGGUGUGUGACAACCUGUGUGCCACAGCAGUCAUGUUCCACCCAGGGCACGUUGCAAGAGCCAUGUGUGACCAAAUGCGUGCCCCAGCAGCAGUGUGCAACCAAGUGCAUCCCGCAGCAGCAGUGUGCAACCAAGUGCAUCCCGCAGCAGCAGUGUGCAUCCAGGUGUGUGACCACAUGCGUGCCACAGCAGCCAUUCCUGACCAAGGGAAUCCACCAGCAGCAUAGUACAACCAUGUGCAUCCCACAGCAGUGUGCGACCAGGUGUGUGACCACGUGUCUGCCGCAGCCGUGUGAGACCAAGAGUGCAAGCAUUUGUAUCCCACAGCAGCACCAAUGUGCCACCAAGGGCAUCCCACAGCAGCACCAGUGUGUCACCAAGUGUGUCCCACAGCAACAUGCCACCAAGAGCAUCCCACAGCAGCACCAGUGUGCCACCAAGUGUGUCCCACAACAGCAAAGUGUGACCCAGUGCGUCCCACAGCAACAUGCCACCAAGAGCAUCCCACAACAGCAUCAGUGUGCCACCAAAGGGAUCCCACAUCAGCACCAGUGUGUCACCAAGUGCAUCCCACAGCAGUGUGCCACCAAAGGGAUCCCACAGCAGCAUCAUUGUGCCACCAAGUGUGUCCCACAACAGCAAAGUGUGACCCAGUGCGUCCCACAGCAAUGUGCCACCAAGAGCAUCCCACAACAGCAUCAAUGUGCCACCAAGAGCAUCCCACAGCAGCAUCAUUGUGCCACCAAGUGCAUCCCACAACAGCAUCAAUGUGCCACCAAGUGUGUCCCACAACAGCAAAGUGUGACCCAGUGCGUCCCACAGCAGUGUGCCACCAAGAGCAUCCCACAACAGCAUCAGUGUGUCACCAAGUGCAUCCCACAGCAGUGUGCCACCAAAGGGAUCCUACAACAGCAUCAGUGUGCCACCAAGUGCAUCCCACAACAGCAUCAAUGUACCACCAAGUGUAUCCCACAACAGCAAAGUGUGACCCAGUGUGUCCCACAGCAGCCGUAUCAGUCAGGUGGAGUAAAAAUUUCAAGCCAUGCUAAGAAGUACUGCUCUGCAUCCAAAUGGCCCUGGUAAAGAGGAGAGGGGGAAAGGAGGGUCCAUGGAAAACCAGUGAGGUAUGGCUUUGGGGCAGAGUUAUUUAUCUCUUUGUAUCAACUCGUUUCUAUUGCUUAAUUCUGCUCUAUCUCUGUUUUCCAGUCCUUUCCCUGUAGCUCAGCUCUAUUUUGGGUCAAGGUGCAAUAUUAUUUCCUGCAUUCCAGAUAUCUGUGGCUUGUUCUUUAGUCUGCUGCAAGAAGUAGUUUAGUGGGAUGUUACUAAAUUCUCACCUCAUUGAAAGGAAUAGUUUUAAUAGGGGAAAAGAAGUAGAAAUGCCAAAGGAGUCCCUCUGAUGACAGCAUCAAGAGGACCAAUGGAGUGGCCAAUGGGGGCUCUGGGUUCAGUCCUGGCCUCAGGAGAUGAUACUCAGGGUUGUCCUGGAUUCCCCAAGGCUGCACGUUCUCCAAAAAGAGUCAUUUUCGCUCACGGAUUUGGAAGCCAAAUGUAAAUUUGCUAAGCAAAAUGUAUCCGAGUCUUGUUCCAACAGCCUUCAUUGCAGGAGGUGGCCAGCAAUCCCUGCUGACUCCGCGCUGACUUCAGUGGAGUCCCCAAGCGAGGCAGGAUCUCUGGUCAGAGAAGUUGGUUCUGCUGAAAUUUUCUAUGUGAAAAGUGUUGUUUUUUAAUAUAUAUUCACUUGGUUGCUUUGGUUAAUGGGGGGGAAAACAAAGCCUGAAACAAAAGAAAGUCUUGGAAAUGAGACUGAAAGCUUUAGCACUACUCCUUUAUAAAUGUUUGAGAUACCGAAGUGAUUAACUGUGUUCUUCAUGCUGCCUGAAGAUGUGUACUCUGCACUGUAUUGAAAACAAACUAUAUAUAUAUGUGUAUGUAUGAUAUACAUAUAUAUAUACCUAAAUAAAUAUAGUUGUCUGACCUCA
rnacentral:lncRNA from 1 species